CCUGCCUCAGCCUCCCGGUGCACCACCACGCCCAGUUUGCUGAGUUAUUUCCCAUAAAUGGAACUGAAGUCCAUGAAACGCUGGCUCUGCGUCUGCGGCGCCACACUGGCGGGUCCCUGUUGUCGUCACGUCCGCCUGGCUCUCUGGGAUGAGCCCUGCUUGUCACCUGCAGAGCGCACCUGCUGGUGUCCUGCUGGGCCCUCAGGAGCCGGCGACUGGAAGACUUCGCUGCAGGGUGUGUCCCAACCUCCCGCCCUGCCUUGCCCGCAGGGGCGGCACCGUGACCCGGCCUGGGUGCCCAGGGUGGUGCGUGUGCAGGAGACGUUGGCCUCAGCCAGGACCCCCGCCCCCCUGCAGGCUCAGAGAGGAAGAAGGGAAGGGCCUGCAGCCCCCACGUGGCUUCUGAGCAGCACGGUGACGGUGACGCCCAGCCCGGCUCGGACGCCUCACAGCCUGUGCCGGCUCUUCUCCCUGUGUCUGUGUUGCUCUCCUGCCUGUCCCCGUCCUCCGCCCGGUGGUCCCUCUGGGUGGCGUGAGAGGCGUUGUCCUUCCAUGCCCAGGGCAGGACCUGGCAGGCUGUGGGGACCGGCUGCCUGCCAGUGCACCCCCUCCCAGCGAGGGCAGACGGCCACCGGGGCAGGAGGCCACCCUGGUGAGGAGGCCGCAGUGACCUCCCUCAGCCACGCAGGGCCCAGCCGUGGCCUGUGCCUGGAGGGCAGCCGUGCCUCUCGGCCUCCUGGGGUGGUAAAGGCACCGCCUGACGCCCGGCAGCUCCGCCCUGCACUUUGCUCCCUCCAAGUCACUCUGGCUUCUGUCCCCAGGGACCCCUCACCACAGAGUUGCCAGGCGUGGGGCCCGGGAGCAUGUGCAGGGACACAGCCUGUGCUCCCGCCGCCUGGCAAGGGAAGGCAGUGCCCAGGCCUGUUGCGGGAGGCGUCCGGCGCAGGUGCCCAGGAGAGGGCGGGCUGGUGUCGGCUGGGGCCGGCCGGCCGCCGGGGUCUGCCAGGUUCGAAGCUCUCAGGUGCCACCUGGGCGGGCAAACCCUGCUGAAGUCUGUUUCCUGAACAGGUAGGGCCUGUGCGUGCAUGAGCCUCGCCUCGUUUCUUUCAGGGGCUUCACCGGUGCUGGGUGAGCCGGCACAGCAGGGGGAAGGGAGGCGUUUGCCGGCACUCGGUCAGCUCCUCCCGCUGGGGUGUCUGCAGAUCCUGCCGUCCGCACCUCUCCGUUUGCGUCGCUGGGCACGGCGCCCCGUGGUCUUCCGUCUCACCGAUGUCUCCGAGACGCCUUGGCUUCCUUGGGUUCCCGCCGUGGUUCUGUGUCCAGGCUCCCCGGCCAGGUGCUGCCGGCCGCGGUGGGCGCCAUCCAGCUGCCCAGUGCCUCUGACCGUUAGAGACGGGGGUCUCGCUCU